rnacentral:rRNA from 1 species
GAUGAACGCUGGCGGCGUGCCUAAUACAUGCAAGUCGAGCGAACAGACGAGGAGCUUGCUCCUCUGACGUUAGCGGCGGACGGGUGAGUAACACGUGGAUAACCUACCUAUAAGACUGGGAUAACUUCGGGACACCGGAGCUAAUACCGGAUAAUAUAUUGAACCGCAUGGUUCAAUAGUGAAAGACGGUUUUGCUGUCACUUAUAGAUGGAUCCGCGUCGCAUUAGCUAGUUGGUAAGGUAACGGCUUACCAAGGCGACGAUGCGUAGCCGACCUGAGAGGGUGAUCGGCCACACUGGAACUGAGACACGGUCCAGACUCCUACGGGAGGCAGCAGUAGGGAAUCUUCCGCAAUGGGCGAAAGCCUGACGGAGCAACGCCGCGUGAGUGAUGAAGGUAUUCGGAUCGUAAAACUCUGUUAUUAGGGAAGAACAAAUGUGUAAGUAACUAUGCACGUCUUGACGGUACCUAAUCAGAAAGCCACGGCUAACUACGUG